AUGAAUAUCUUAAGUUGAAACUGCUGGGGGGCGGGGAACUCCCGGACAGUUCGUGAUCUUGUGAGCCUUGUGCAAGCUCACUCCCCUAGUAUCGUUUUCAUUUGUGAAACUAGGCAGUCUAAGAAUAAAAUGAGUAGGUAUCGUGCUCGGUUAGGUUUACGAGGUUUUGAUGCUUCAGAUAGUGUUGGUCUUAGUGGUGGUCUUGCUUUGUAUUGGCAUGAGUCCUUGAAUCUGGAUGUAAAAACAAUAAAUGAGAGAUAUAUUGACGCGUUCGUGAUGAACGGCACGGGCGAGCCACCUUGGAGGCUCACUUGUGUCUACGGCGAGCCCCGAACGGAGGAUCGGCAUCGCAUGUGGUCCAUCCUUCGUGAUCUGCACCGACAAGCCAACAUGUCAUGGGCAGUGGUUGGCGACUUCAAUGAGGCCAUGUGGGGCUUCGAACACUUUUCUGCAACACCAAGAUCGGCAGGUCAGAUGAUCGACUUUCGUGAUGCGCUUGAAGUAUGUGGCUUGGGUGAUCUUGGUUUUGCAGGGCUCCCACAUACAUAUGACAAUCGACGUGUGGUGGCCGGGCGAAUGUCAGGGUCCGCCUAG
rnacentral:rRNA from 1 species